GAGGACUUUCGGUGUUAGGGGACGACGUGGCGUUCACAGGUCAGCGAUUCAGAGAGAGAAAGAUGACAGAAUGUUCCUGAAGUUUCUCAUGGCUUCCCUUAAAGCUGUAAUGAAUCUGCAGCGAUACUCCGUAUCAGUGCGUCACCAUCUCGCCGACUCCAGAAAACAAACAGAAGACAGACAAAACGACUGACAGAAGCGUGAGGGUGAGUAAAAACGCUGAAGGGAACAUUUCAGAUCAGUGAAUUCAUUCCCUACUAACGUGCAAGGUUUUAAAAGUCAGGAUUAAAAUUCCAAAAAACUUUCACCUCUGUUGAAAAGAGCAUGAAACACUGCUUUAUCUGUUCCAUAACAAUUCAUUCAGAGGAGAGAGAGAACUCAAAAUGGCCGACUCUGUUUUGUCUAGCGCCCUGAUCCUACACCCGUGCUCUGCA